CUGUAUUGUUGAGUUUUGUAUGAACUAAUCUUGCUUCACUAAAAAAGACCUACAGCUUGGACAAAAGUCUAUAGCCAGUGCAUUCCUAGCUCCCCUUACACAGAGACAGACACAGUCAGAGAGAAGACACGCUGGGUCUCGGCUCUCCUCUGCGAGCAGGUGGAACUCUGGAUAUCUAUGGGUCUUGGGCCUGCCGGAAAAGGCAGGCAGGGGAACGCUAAAAGGCAAGAUGGUGUGGAGCUGUAGAGGGACUGAGGCGGGUGAGAGCAGCCGCGCAGCGAGCACUCUGAGCGGGCACACGUAGCGAGUGGACGCUGAUGGAUCAUGAGAGCGGCCGCCGGAGGAGAACGCAGCCGGGAAGAGCGCCUGCUCGCCGGGCGCGCAUGUGAGGAUCCUCCCGGGAGGCAGACGGAGCUCUGGAUGUGUCAGUCAAACUGAGUUGUUUUUUUCUACUCAAGCAUGGCGGUGAUAAUUGGAUUGUGUGGACACCUGUAUGAGUGCAGUAUAUCCAGGGGAUUAGAGAACGGGAUGGCUUUUGCAGGUUCUGUCCAAACCUGUGGGAUGAAUUCUCCUGAUUCGUCGUCUUGUGGAGGACCAGAUCUGGGGACAUUGAUGUCAGCAAACUUAGAGCAUCAACUUUUGUUUACCUCUCAGUAAAUUCAUAUGCUGGAUCCAUGCUACAAUUAUUGUGUAUAUGGAAUUUACUAAUGUCACUGUAUUCUGCGUGACUCAUUUCACCAAAAGAAACUCCAAUCCAUUAUGAUAAAAACACACAUAUAUUUUAAUGCAAGAUAACUGAUUGACUUUAAAAAUAAUUAGUAAUU